GAUGAACGCUAGCGACAGGCCUAACACAUGCAAGUCGAGGGGCAGCACAAGGAGCAAUCUGAGGUGGCGACCGGCGCACGGGUGAGUAACACGUAUGCAACCUGCCUGUAAGCGGGGAAUAACCCGUUGAAAGACGGACUAAUACCGCAUAAUACUAAAUUACUGCAUGGUAAUUUAUUUAAACAUUUAUGGCUUACAGAUGGGCAUGCGCAUGAUUAGCUAGUUGGAGAGGUAACGGCUCCCCAAGGCAACGAUCAUUAGGGGUUCUGAGAGGAAGGUCCCCCACACCGGUACUGGGACACGGACCAGACUCCUACGGGAGGCAGCAGUGAGGAAUAUUGGUCAAUGGACGAGAGUCUGAACCAGCCAAGUCGCGUGCAGGAAGAAUGUCCUAUGGAUUGUAAACUGCUUUUGCAGGGGAAUAAAGUGCAUCACGUGUGAUGUUUUGUAUGUACUCUGCGAAUAAGGAUCGGCUAACUCCGUGCCAGCAGCCGCGGUAAUACGGAGGAUCCGAGCGUUAUCCGGAUUUAUUGGGUUUAAAGGGUGCGUAGGCGGGAUAAUAAGUCAGUGGUGAAAGUUUGCAGCUUAACUGUAAAAUUGCCGUUGAAACUGUUAUUCUUGAGAGUAGAUAAGGUAGGCGGAAUGUGUUGUGUAGCGGUG
rnacentral:rRNA from 1 species